CCCUAUUACUUGUUGGCUCAACAUUACGUCAUGUUGCACUAACCGGUAGUGGGCUU
rnacentral:pre_miRNA from 1 species